GGCUGGAAGUUUCCUUGGGCAGCCAUUGGCAGGAUAACAGGGUUGAUCUGGUUUCUGGUUUCUGCUCAGAUGGGUGAUGUGUAGUCCCUAGCCUGGGAAAGUCCUAGCUAACAGAUAGACCCAGGCAGCAACUUUUCUACCCUCACCAAAUGGACAAGCAAGCUGCUUGUCUCACCCUCAGUAGUACCAGUGAAAGUCAAAGCUAUGUAGGGUGGAACAGAUCCCUCCAAAGAAACUGGACCCAGUGCAGGACCUGGUGCAUUUGUAAGUGUCGUCUUCUCCCUCAUCCCUCAAAAUGUCAAGGAUAAAAUCAACCCUGUGAGCAUAUAAAUGGCCAUAGAGGGACAGUCCCUCCAAAGAGGUUGGGCACAACCCUAAGAUCCCAGGCCAUGAGCCCAGAAUGAGAAGAGAGAAAACCAUUCACUCCAAGCUGAGGUUCCUGCUGCACUAAAUACAGGGACUCCCAAAGUCUGAUCAAAGGCCAGCUUCUUUUAGGGAGCGGGAAAGGAACAGGGGAAGGAGAGAGGGCUUCUGAAAGUGACCCCUAGGGCUCUGCAGGCCUUUGCAAGGCCUUAGGCUAUCAGCGGGGGGUGCCCACCCAAGUAUGACCACAUCAUCCACACAAUUUCCAGACCCUCUGAACCCUGGCUGCCCCUCCUCCCAGAAAAGUGUCAAUGUGAAGAAGGGGAAUUUGCUCUAUCAAGUGUGACCCAGGGUUGGUGAUGAAUACCAGAGAUGGUAGGAUCAGCUAGAAUAACAUGUCACACGGUGGGGUGGGUUGUGUGGCAGGCAGAGACUUUGAGCAGGUAAUGGCUGUCACAGACCAGCAAAUCACAGGUGUCUCGGGAACAACAGGAGUUAUGCUCAGACUCCAAAGAACAAACACGCAGCACAAGACGUUUUGCCAAAGCAAAGCUGUUUUGAUCGUUCCCGGAUGUGACAUGUAUCGCAUGAGGAAAGAGAGCCUCUUGCACUGAGGCUGCCUAAUUGACAGCCGGCGGCUCCAAGCAGAGUGGCACUGGGCAAGGUGAGGAUGAGGGUGGAGCACCCUCCUCAUACUGCUGGCCUCUCCACCACCGCAGGCAAGGCUUCAUAGCAGAGGCACUCUUGCCUGUGGAGUGAGGGAGGCUCACUAUUCCCAAUAC
rnacentral:lncRNA from 1 species